rnacentral:rRNA from 1 species
AUACGGAGGGUGCAAGCGUUAAUCGGAAUUACUGGGCGUAAAGCGCGCGUAGGCGGUUUGAUAAGUCGGAUGUGAAAUCCCCGGGCUCAACCUGGGAAUUGCAUUCGAUACUGUCAGGCUAGAGUGUGGUAGAGGGAAGUGGAAUUUCCGGUGUAGCGGUGAAAUGCGUAGAUAUCGGAAGGAACACCAGUGGCGAAGGCGGCUUCCUGGACCAACACUGACGCUGAGGUGCGAAAGCGUGGGGAGCAAACAGAAUUAGAAACCCUAGUAGUCC